GACGAACCUUGCUAACGUUAUUCGGAAUUACUGGGCUUAAAGGGUGCGUAGGUGGCGCCAUAAGUCAGGUGUGAAAUCUCGGGGCUCAACCUCGAAACUGCACUUGAUACUGUGGUGCUGGAGUACUGGAGAGGAGAUUGGAAUUUACGGUGUAGCAGUGAAAUGCGUAGAUAUCGUAAGGAAGACCAGUGGCGAAGGCGAAUCUCUGGACAGUUACUGACACUGAGGCACGAAGGCCAGGGGAGCAAACGGG
rnacentral:rRNA from 1 species